AAUAUAUAGGUCUACCACAUCCAUCCUGUUAAAAAGUUACGUUGCUACAAAGAUGGCGCCUGUUACUAAGGAACCAUCAUUAUGGGAACUAAAGAGUAAGUUAAAAAAAGUUUAUUUUGCAGAAGGAGUGGCCUAGUAUUUGCUAACAUGCCGGCAGUAACCUUUAAUUCACUGGUCACAUGUAACUGAAGGACAUUGGGAAUGCAUGAUUUUUUCUCUUCUUUGAAUUUUUCACAAUUACUUAAAAAAAAACGGGUUUUGUGUUAUGCUUGUUGCAAACAACCUGAUGAAGGCAUUGUAAGUAAAGGAGCUGGUAACUGCCAUCAAACUACGUGGGGAGGGAAUGAAGAAAAGGCAGCAAUUGGGUGGACCUGCACUUAUGUUUUGUGAAUUCUCACUAAAAAAGAAAAGAUCAUAACCAGGAAAAGACAAAGCGACUUACAGAGAAUUUUGAGGGAAUCUCCAGGAAACUUUAAUGAAGCAGAUAAGUAGACACCUGACUAAAAAUUGGAUAUGCAGCUCUUUUCUGGUGCACCAUUUUGUGCGGUAUGUUGAUGGGUUCUUGAAUGUUACUGAAAAUUCCCUAGCCUCUGAGCAAUUGGAAAACACCUACUUUACUUUUGUCACUUCACCUGACAGUAACAUUUUGGAAGUAAGGAACUCCAGUGCUAUGGAUACUGGGAAUGACAUAGCUCAAAGCUGCUGGUCAGUGACACCUCUGCAUAUCCAAUUACAAUGUAUCAUCACAUUAGCGGUACUGUCUGCUGUCAUCAUAUCUUUCAUGACAUCAACAUUAAUCCUCUACAUCCGAUUAGCCAAACGUCAGAAGAGGCGACCAAUAAGAAAUAUACCAACCCUUAGAUAUCCCAAGAUUCUGACUCGUCACAAGACUGCUGCCAACCUCUGGAUGCAGCCAACAGUGACACAAGAACAAAUAUCAGACUUUUGGUACAAUAACAGGGCAAAUGCAAAGGACACAUUGCUAGAAAAUGAUCGGUCUAAAGCAUGUGCAAAUGGCAGUUGUGUAUGAUAUGUAUCAGUCAAAUUUUUGUCUAGAAGUCUAUUUUGUUAUGAUCAUUUCUUGUCUCACUGAUACUUGUAGUACUUGCAACUGGGGUUUUAAAUGGAUUGUUGUUCAUUUGAACUUUCUGAUGUGGGAGAUAAGCUGGUGUUUUCAGGAAACACUACCUUCCUUAAAGUGGGGAAGUCAAAACAGUAGCUGGGUAAGUCAAGACAAUUACUGCUUGAGAAAACAGGUACUAGGCAGGAUGGGGUUUUAAUAAAUGAAAAAAAUAAAUGCAGACUAGCCAGCUUUAGCUGUUGAUAUUAUUAGAAAAAGGACACUGGAUCAUGGGAGAUUUAUUUUUCAUACACUAUCCACUGUUGAAAGAAAAUGUGCUAAGUUUAACUUAUGCAGGGAAAAAGAGGGUAUCAAAAACAGGAGCACAACUUUACUGUCCCAGAAUGCAACAGAAGGAGGGGAUCAGUGGAGAGAACAAAGUUCCUUUUGUGUUUGAACAAGUGGUAAAAUCAUUUAACACACAGUAUUUGGAGCCACCUUAUUAUACUGGCAGGAGACUGUUACUUUGUCCAUAACAACAUCUCUAAUUUAAACUCUCACAGUCAUAUUCAUUCAGGAUAAAUCACAUCAAAAUGGAUCAGUAAAAAGACCCUUCUACCAGGGAUGCUGCCAUAUAAAGGCAAUCAUUGCUGGUGGCCAAAGUCAUACAUCUCAUUAAUUAAACAUUAACAGUGAUAUUUUGUAACUGGAGAUUAUAUAUAAAUAGUUAUUUGUACUGUCUGUAUUUAGUCCUCGGUUGUUCUCCAGUGAGGGAGGAGUCUAAGUGUAUGAAGGUCAGUCAGUUCCAGACCACAAGGCCACACUUGCCUGUGGGUUUUCCAAAACUGGAUUUCUUUUCCCUGUCAGUGUUAAGGUACAGAGUUAUAAAAAGAAGAUGAUGGAAGAAGCGAAGUCUGCUGUACAGAGUGGGUGUAUGCAGGAUCUGCCACUCAAACUUAGUGUUUUGGGUGAACUUUUGAUAUGUACAGUGGACCACGACAUGCUGGUCUUUGUCUUAGUAUUUAUAGCAAAACCAGGCUAUAUCCCCGUGAGGGGAAUAAUAUGCGUUAAUAUAGACUGCUUGGAUGGUGACUGAACUGUCACAAUGUCCAUUUCUCUGCUGGUGACGUAAAAAAAAUUACAAUAUAAAUAGGAUGGUGUACACAGGACUUUAGAACACCCUUAGUGAAAAUGUUUAUCUUUUCAUAGAAACUGUCAUUUUGCUCAGCCAGAGGUAGCAAAAAUCAGUCUUUGUCUAACUGGUCUCAGCUAAAUUGAAUAACCUCUUUGCUACAGUUUGCAUACGUUUGCCUAUAUUUAUGGUUGUAUCCAGAAAAAAGUACUUGUAAAUCAGGACAUCCGUCUUUUUAUCAAACACAUGAAUGAAUAAAAUAAAGGCCUGAACUCUUGAUGAAGCACUUCUUUGGAGUUUUCCUUAAGGUUUUAUGCUAAUCAUGACGUUGUUUGUUUAUUGCAAAAUGGUCCUUUUUGAAACUGUGCCAUGUUUCUACAGAAACAGAAUCGGCAAAUAUGAUGAGUAAUACUGCAUGAAGGGUAUUUCUUUCAGCUGCCCCCCCCCC